AUACCUGACUUUACGGAAGGGUAGUAUUUAUUAGAUAUUAAACCAAUCCCUUCGGGGUUGUGAUGAUUCAUAAUAACUGAUCGAAGCGAGGAUUUCCUUGCUAAAUCAUUCAAGUUUCUGCCCUAUCAGCUUUAGAUGGUAGUGUAUUGGACUACCAUGGCUAUCACGGGUAACGGAGAAUUAGGGUUCGAUUCCGGAGAGGGAGCCUGAGAAAUGGCUACCACAUCUAAGGAUGGCAGCAGGUGCGAAAAUUGCCCAAUCCCGAUUCGGGGAGGCAGUGACAAGAAAUAUCAACCCAGGUCCUAUGACCAGGAUUGCAAAUGAGAAAAAUCCAAAAAACUUAUCGAGUAUCAACUGGAGGGCAAGCUAUGGUGCCAGCAGCCGCGGUAAUUCCAUCUCCAGUAGCGUAUAUUAAAGUUGCUGCAGUUAAAAAGCUCGUAGUUGAAAUUCUGUCCGGUUGAGCGAUUUCCAAAUGGUCUUCGCCUCACCGGGCAUCAGUCUGCAAUCAUUUUCACGACAUUCACUUGUCGGGAUUGGGAGCAGGCGUUUUACCUUGAGAAAAUUAGAGUGUUCCAGGCAGGCUUCAGCCCGAAUACAUUAGCAUGGAAUAAUAGAAUAGGACUAGAGACUAUUUAUUGGUUUAAGGCUUUAGUAAUGAUUAAUAGGAACAGUCGGGGGCAUUAGUACUUGACAGUCAG
rnacentral:rRNA from 1 species